AUCAACAUAUUUCAAAACUUAAAUACCUCUUUAAAUAGCAAAUAUACAGUUGUGCCAGUGAAUUCUUACCAAUCACCAUAAUUUGAAUUCUUACAAACGGCGCCGAUGAAUUCUUCCCAACCGCCAUAAUUUGAAUUCUUACUAACGGCGCCGAUGAAUUCUUACCAACUACCAUAAUUUGAAUUUUUACCAACGGCCAUAAGUUUCGAGGUAUAUAUAGAAUGAAAUGAAGAGGGUUUAAUUUUCUGUGAUGUAGUGGUUCUUAAAAUAAGAAGAAUUCGAAUUCUUGGGUAAUUAUCUGGAUCAUAUGAAUCAAAGCAGACUGAAAAUGAGUUUGGAAAGGGAGUGACAGAAGAUAAGAAUUUGUCACGAGCUUCUAAAUUAUUCUGCAAAGGGCGCAGUCUAGAGUUUGAUGAGCAAGUGGCUUAUCCAAUACAUCUUUUUGCAAAUGUUCCUUGGGAUCAUAUGUACAGACUAAGGUCAUUGGAUGCACCUGAGGUGCCUAGUGUCUCAUUCGUUUCAAAGGUGGAAGCAACAUUCUAUCUAUAAGCCUGUAGUGAAUUUGUUUUCUGAUAAUUUUGAUGGGCAGGUGGAUUAUCCCAUACAUCUUUUUGCAAAUGUUUCUUGGGAUUAUACGUACAGACUAAGGUUUUUGGAUGCACCGGAGGUGCCCAGUGUCUCAUUUGUUUCAAAGGUGGAAGCAACUUUGUAUCUAUAAACCUGUAGUGAACUUGUGCUCUGAUAAUAUCAGGAUAAUUUUUUGGAGUUCAAAAUCUCUAAAAACUUCUGAUUUCAAAGUCUUGAUUGAUAGUCGAGCUUCAUUCACAUAUAUGCCUACCAAUGCAUUGAAUCAGCAUUUUAAGAAUUUGAUGAGCAGGUGUCUUAUCCAAUGCAUCUUUUUGCAAAUGUUCCUUGGGAUUAUAUGUACAAACUAAGAUCUUUGGAUGCACCUGAGGUGUCCACUGUCUCAUUUGUUUCAAGCCUGUAGUGAAUUUGUUCUCUGAUAAUGGCUGGAAAAUCUGAAUGAUCGAAUUAGACACAUAUUGGGAUGUGAAGAUGGGACAUUGACUCCCAUUUUUCCUGUGUUGUUUGGGAUUGAAGACCUUCAUCUUCAAUAUGCUGCCGGGCGUUGAAUUCAUUGGAGCUAAUGCAUUAAUGGUCUUGCAUUGGAUUCUUUCGAAUUGAAAGUAUGAUGUGGAUCUUGGCUACUACAUUUCUCUGCUAUCAUCAUUCCAUGUUCAUAUUCAUAUUACUGAGAAUGAGAUUGCUUUUGCAUUUGGGUUUUACCAUCCAAAGAAGAAGCUUGGAAGUUCAAGUGUAGUACCCCUUCUCGAUUAGACUUUUUGGACUCAUGUUUGACUUCAGUUAAUUGUUCAGUGGAUACAUUAUUGUUAUACUUUAUUCAGACUCUAUACGAUGUUAUUACAUGCUUUAACUUGA